rnacentral:lncRNA from 10 species
ACAUUACAAAGGAGCUCUGUGUCAGAAGCUAGGAUUAAAGAACAAAUACAGAACAAAUUAUUCCUCCAGCACCCCUACUGCAAGGAUUUUAAGAACUCUAUCUCAGGAUAAAGACCUGAGGGCCAAGGAAGACGAAGAGAUAUCUGAAUGGCCUGGACAUGGCAUGUAAAAAUGACUCAGCCAACAGCUGGAAAGAAGCUGCUGGCCUUCAGGUCACAAGAUGUACAUUGCUGGCCUCAGCUGGAUUUUCCCAGGGUCAGGUGCCCAUUCCUACCUAAUCAAAGGUCAUGAGUCCUCACACGUUUUCAAGAGUUUGGAAAAUGAUCUCCCUUGCCAGACUGCCAAUCUUCAAAGGGAGUUCUAUAUGUGGAAGAAAAAGAAAAAAUUUAUGUGCAUUUACCCUGUUUAAUACACUCAUCAUAUAUAGUAUUUUUGCAACAGCAAAAAUAACACUCUUAAUUUAGUAUGUAAUUAUAUAUGUCAUAUACUUAAUAUACAAAAUAUUUUCCUUGCUAACCUAUACGAUUUCAAAUGCCUGGAACAAUAGAUAAUUCAUGUGAUUACUUGAGAGUAUGUAAAUUUUAAUAUGUUAACAUAUACUGGCAAAGUUCUAAAAGUUGCGAUUUUAUGGGAGGCCAAAUUAUGUACAUAUUAGUUUGUCUGAAGACUUGAGCCAAAAGGAAACUAAUACACUUCUGAGCUACAAUAUGGACAUAAUGUCAUGAAGCAGGAACAUUAUGCUCCAUUUCAGGACACUUCUGCUGACCUGCACCUAGAAUACCCUGUUCUGUGCUGAUGACUCAGAUGUAAGAAUGAUGAAGUGCAUCGGCUGGCAUGCAGAGAACAAUAAGAAAAAGAACUGAGUUGUGGGAAGACAUGAGGAAAGGACAUGAGGCUCUUAAUAACAGCUGCCAAGUACUGCAGUCGGGAAUCUGGAGCAAAGUGAUUCAAUUCUGACCACUGCCUGUGAGUAAAUGGGAUUUUAUUUUUCAAUACUUUUGUUUAAUAGUACCUCCUUCAUUACAUGUGAACAGCACUCCAGGACAGUAAAUCAUGAAAUGGGAAUAAAGCCUGUAAUUUUAAUUAACAUAUUUUAAAAUGUUUCUAAUUUGUAUGCAUUUGAUCAAAUUUUCAUUUGCAUUGAGCUAUUUUUUUUCUUUCUCAUGUAAUGUUUGACAUUACCAUUUCUUUCUUUAAUGAAAUACUAAUAUUUAAUAAAAUAUAUUACAUCCUUAAU